UUUAGAGGAAGUAAAAGUCGUAACAAGGUCUCCGUUGGUGAACCAGCGGAGGGAUCAUUACCGAGUUUACAACUCCCAAACCCCUGUGAACAUACCUAUACGUUGCCUCGGCGGAUCAGCCCGCGCCCCUGUAAAAAGGGACGGCCCGCCCGAGGACCCUAAACUCUGUUUUUAGUGGAACUUCUGAGUAAAACAAACAAAUAAAUCAAAACUUUCAACAACGGAUCUCUUGGUUCUGGCAUCGAUGAAGAACGCAGCAAAAUGCGAUAAGUAAUGUGAAUUGCAGAAUUCAGUGAAUCAUCGAAUCUUUGAACGCACAUUGCGCCCGCCAGUAUUCUGGCGGGCAUGCCUGUUCGAGCGUCAUUUCAACCCUCAAGCUCAGCUUGGUGUUGGGACUCGCGGUAACCCGCGUUCCCCAAAUCGAUUGGCGGUCACGUCGAGCUUCCAUAGCGUAGUAAUCAUACACCUCGUUACUGGUAAUCGUCGCGGCCACGCCGUAAAACCCCAACUUCUGAAUGUUGACCUCGGAUCAGGUAGGAAUACCCGCUGAACUUAAGCAUAUCA
rnacentral:rRNA from 1 species